rnacentral:rRNA from 1 species
CCUACGGUGGGCUGCAGUGGGGAAUAUUGGACAAUGGGCGAAAGCCUGAUCCAGCCAUGCCGCGUGUGUGAAGAAGGCCUUCGGGUUGUAAAGCACUUUCAGUGGGGAAGAAAGCCUUGGGGCUAAUACCCUCGAGGAAGGACAUCACCCACAGAAGAAGCACCGGCUAACUCCGUGCCAGCAGCCGCGGUAAUACGGAGGGUGCGAGCGUUAAUCGGAAUUACUGGGCGUAAAGCGCGCGUAGGCGGUCUGAUAAGCCGGGUGUGAAAGCCCCGGGCUCAACCUGGGAACGGCAUCCGGAACUGUCAGGCUAGAGUGCAGGAGAGGAAGGUAGAAUUCCCGGUGUAGCGGUGAAAUGCGUAGAGAUCGGGAGGAAUACCAGUGGCGAAGGCGGCCUUCUGGCCUGACACUGACGCUGAGGUGCGAAAGCGUGGGUAGCAAACAGGAUUAGAUACCCCUGUAGUC